rnacentral:rRNA from 1 species
UACGAAGGGGGCUAGCGUUGCUCGGAAUCACUGGGCGUAAAGCGCACGUAGGCGGGUCUUUAAGUCAGGGGUGAAAUCCUGGAGCUCAACUCCAGAACUGCCUUUGAUACUGAGGAUCUCGAGUCCGGGAGAGGUGAGUGGAACUCCGAGUGUAGAGGUGAAAUUCGUAGAUAUUCGGAAGAACACCAGUGGCGAAGGCGGCUCACUGGCCCGGUACUGACGCUGAGGUGCGGAAAGCGUGGGGAGCAAACAGG